CAAAAUUCUGGAAUUUUUCCGACCACCGAAGCUUUCGAUCGGUAUAUCUCGAGCUACAGAAUAUAUUUUUCUGUGAUUCUUGAACCAGUGUGUUCUUCUUGAGUUUCUUAACAACUCUUCAGAAGGAAUCGAAGCCUUAAAUUGACGUUUUUACGUCGAAUUGGAGCUCGCCGUUUUCUGCAGUUUCUCGCCGGAUUCUGGAAAUUUUCCGGUCACCUCGACUGUUCUAGGUGAUUGACGGUUUAAGUUGGUGGACGAUUGUGGAUCGAAUUUUGAGCUGUUAAGAAGACGCAGCUGGAUUAGAGCGGGUAAUCCUACAGGACAGGAGAACCAGGACGGUGAUCGUGCGGUUAGAGCAAUUGUUAGAGUUUUACAGCAAUUGUAAGUUGUGAGGUGUGUUAUGCUCAUUUGAGCUUUACAAUAUAUUGUGAGAGUGAAUUGUAAUAAUGAACUCGAA